rnacentral:rRNA from 1 species
CAGAGCUUACGCCUGAAAAAAGGCAGAACCUCUCCACCCUUUGUGUAUCGUUACUUUGUUGCUUUGGCGAGCCGCCCUCGGGCCUUGCGUGCUCGCCAGAGGAUAACCAAACCCUUUUUUAUUCAUGUCGUCUGAGCACUAUAUA